UUCGGGAUGAUGAAUUUAGUGACUUAGUGGCGGACGGGUGAGUAACGCGUGGGUAACCUGCCUUACACAGGGGGAUAACAGUUAGAAAUGACUGCUAAUACCGCAUAAAACAGCAGCACCGCAUGGUGCAACUGUCAAAGAUUUAUCGGUGUAAGAUGGACCCGCGUCUGAUUAGCCAGUUGGUGGGGUAACGGCCUACCAAAGCGACGAUCAGUAGCCGACCUGAGAGGGUGACCGGCCACAUUGGGACUGAGACACGGCCCAAACUCCUACGGGAGGCAGCAGUGGGGAAUAUUGGACAAUGGGCGAAAGCCUGAUCCAGCGACGCCGCGUGAGCGAUGAAGUAUUUCGGUAUGUAAAGCUCUAUCAGCAGGGAAGAAAAUGACGGUACCUGACUAAGAAGCCCCGGCUAACUACGUGCCAGCAGCCGCGGUAAUACGUAGGGGGCAAGCGUUAUCCGGAUUUACUGGGUGUAAAGGGAGCGUAGACGGAAGUGCAAGUCAGAAGUGAAAGCCCGGGGCUUAACCCCGGGACUGCUUUUGAAACUGUGCAUCUAGAGUGCAGGAGAGGUAAGCGGAAUUCCUAGUGUAGCGGUGAAAUGCGUAGAUAUUAGGAGGAACACCGGUGGCGAAGGCGGCUUACUGGACUGUAACUGACGUUGAGGCUCGAAAGCGUGGGGAGCAAACAGGAUUAGAUACCCUGGCAGUCCACGCCGUAAACGAUGAAUACUAG
rnacentral:rRNA from 1 species